rnacentral:rRNA from 1 species
CCUAUGGGGUGCANCAGGCGAGAAAACUUUGCAAUGUGCGAAAGCACGACAAGGUUAAUCCGAGUGGUUUCUGCUAAAGGAACCUUUUGUUAGUGCCUAAAAACACUAGACGUANGAAGGGNGGGCAAUAAUGUGGU